AAAAGUGUAAACUAUAAACUUGCAGGGACGUUCAAUUGUGUGGAAACGGAUAUCUCAAGGAUGCCCAUUCUAUGUCCCACGUACCUAAAUAUACAUUCAUUUGAACAUCAUAAUAUCUAUUAAUGCCGUCUACUGUAUGUAUAUUUUGUAAACAGUAGGCACAUCCUUAGGAUGUGCCUAAAUUGUCUUAAACGUCCAUCUAUGGUCCCAUUGGUGGAUAUCCCAGGCCUAUGGGAAAACGGAUAUCUCUAGGACAUCCAUCAGACGUCCAACGUCCCGAAACAGGCAUCCAUUGUCCAGCGUCUAUCAUAAAACUAUGUUGCCUAAUACACUAAAUUGGAAUAAGAAAAUUUCGACGGCAUUAAGUUAUAAUUUUUUGGUACGCAAAAUAAAGGAGAAGUACAAAAUGUAAUUUGCUACAGAACCUAUUCUAUAAUUAUGUCUAGACAACACAGCGUACAA